UUUCUGUAGGUGAACCUGCGGAAGGAUUAUUAUAUGAUAAUUGGGGUAACAUUGCAGCUCGCUGCUCUAAUACCUGUCUGAAUCUAUGUCUUUUGCGUACUACUUGUUUCCUUGGUGGGCUUGCCCGCUGAUUGGAUACUAUUAAACUCUUUUGUAAUUGUAAUUAGCGUCUGAAAAUUAUAAUAGUUACAACUUUUAAUAACGGAUCUCUUGGUUCUGGCAUCGAUGAAGAACGCAGC
rnacentral:misc_RNA from 1 species